rnacentral:rRNA from 1 species
GAUGAACGCUGGCGGCGUGCCUAAUACAUGCAAGUCGAGCGAACAGACGCGGAGCUUGCUCCUUUGUCGUUUGCCGCGGACGUGUGAGUAACACGUGGAUAACCUACUUAUAUGACUGGUAUCACUUCGGGAAUCCGGCUCUAAUACCGGAUAAUAUAUUGAACCGUAUGGUUCAAUAGUGAAUGUCGGUUUUGCUGUCACUUCUCGAUGCAUCUGCGCCGGAUUAGCUAGUUGGUAAGUUAACGGCCUACCACGGCAACGAUGCGUAGCCGACCUGCGAGAGGGGUAGGACGCACGGGAACGGAAACACGGUCAAGGCGCCUGAGAGAGGCAGCAGUAGGGAAUCUGCCGCAAUGGGCGAGAACCUGGCGGAACAACGCCACGUGAGUGGUGAAGAUCUUGGGAUCGUAAAAAUGUGUUAUGAGGGAAGAACAAAUGUGGAAGUAACUAUGCACGUCUUGACGGUAACGGAUAAGAAAGCCACGGCUAACUACGUG